AGCCCACAUAAAUGUUGGCAUUGCAAGAAAUGCAGUCAAGAUGGUACAACCAGGGCGAAUAUAUCCCUCCAACUCAACUGGCAUACUGGCCAACCAUUCAAAAAUUUGGUGUCGAAGCCUUCUAGGGAAUGGAUUCCAAUCGUAAAGCUUGAAUGAGAUCCGACCUGUUGGGCACGCAGAUGAGUAAAAACUCUUAUUCUCACAAUUGAAAGGAGAAAGCGCAAAUCUGGAAUCGUCUUUUCCGCUAUCCUUUGGGGUUCCGACAGAUACACCACUAUCGCUAUUGAGAUUUUGGGAAU
rnacentral:misc_RNA from 1 species